UACGUAGGUGACAAGCGUUGUCCGGAAUGACUGGGCGUAAAGGGCGUGUAGGUGGACUAAUCAGUCGGAUGUGAAAUAUCCGGGCUUAACCCGGAGGGUGCAUCCGAUACGGUUAGUCUUGAGUGCAGGAGAGGGCAGUGGAAUUCCCAGUGUAGCGGUGAAAUGCGUAGAGAUUGGGAGGAACACCAGUGGCGAAGGCGGCUGCCUGGACUGUAACUGACACUGAGGCGCGAAAGCGUGGGGAGCAAACAGG
rnacentral:rRNA from 1 species